AAAGCGAGACCUAAUUCAGGUAAAAGACGAAAAAAAAGUAGUCGCUACCAAGAAUCAAUCCCAAAAGGUCGGAGCGAGGCGAAAUUGGCUUUCAAACUAGGUUCUGGGUUCAAACAAGACCUGAAUCAGGAACAAGGGCUAUUAGCUCAGGUGGUUAGAGCGCACCCCUGAUAAGGGUGAGGUCCCUGGUUCGAGUCCAGGAUGGCCCACCUGUACAGGUGGCAAAAAGAAAGAAAAGAAGCGAGGAAUCAGCACCUUAUCUUACUGACAUAGUAAGAGAAAAUGCUGGCUCUGAGUAAAGAGUCCAGAGGAACCUUGAAAACUGCAUAGAGCUAGGUGAAAAAGCCAAAAAAGAAGACCGCAAG
rnacentral:tRNA from 1 species